rnacentral:rRNA from 1 species
CCUACGGGAGGCAGCAGUGGGGAAUCUUGCGCAAUGGGCGAAAGCCUGACGCAGCGACGCCGCGUGGGUGAUGAAGGCCUUCGGGUUGUAAAGCUCUGUGGGGAGAGACGAAUAAGGCAUGGCUAAUAUCCAUGGUGAUGACGGUAUCUCCUUAGCAAGCACCGGCUAACUCUGUGCCAGCAGCCGCGGUAAGACAGAGGGUGCAAACGUUGUUCGGAAUUACUGGGCGUAAAGCGUGUGUAGGCGGCCAAGUAAGUUGGAUGUGAAAGCCCGGGGCUCAACCCCGGAAGUGCAUUCAAUACUGCAUGGCUUGAGUAUCGGAGAGGUUGGUGGAAUUCUCGGUGUAGAGGUGAAAUUCGUAGAUAUCGAGAGGAACACCGGUGGCGAAGGCGGCCAACUGGACGAAUACUGACGCUGAGACACGAAAGCGUGGGGAGCAAACAGGAUUAGAUACCCUGGUAGUCCACGCCGUAAACGAUGGGUGCUAGGUGUCACGGGCAUUGACUCCCGUGGUGCCGUAGCCAACGCAUUAAAGCACCCCGCCUGGGAAGUACGGCCGCAAGGCUAAAACUCAAAAUGAAUUGACGG